rnacentral:rRNA from 1 species
AUUGAACGCUGGCGGCAUGCCUUACACAUGCAAGUCGAACGGUAACAGGUCUUCGGAUGCUGACGAGUGGCGAACGGGUGAGUAAUACAUCGGAACGUGCCCGAUCGUGGGGGAUAACGAAGCGAAAGCUUUGCUAAUACCGCAUACGAUCUACGGAUGAAAGCAGGGGACCGCAAGGCCUUGCGCGAACGGAGCGGCCGAUGGCAGAUUAGGUAGUUGGUGGGAUAAAAGCUUACCAAGCCGACGAUCUGUAGCUGGUCUGAGAGGACGACCAGCCACACUGGGACUGAGACACGGCCCAGACUCCUACGGGAGGCAGCAGUGGGGAAUUUUGGACAAUGGGCGAAAGCCUGAUCCAGCCAUGCCGCGUGCAGGAUGAAGGCCUUCGGGUUGUAAACUGCUUUUGUACGGAACGAAAAGUCUCUGGUUAAUACCUGGGGUCCAUGACGGUACCGUAAGAAUAAGCACCGGCUAACUACGUG